CAGCCCCUCGAGUGGUGGGGAUGAUUAUUUGGCCUAAAGCGUCCGUAGCCGGCCGGGCAAGUCUUCCGUUAAAUCCAGCGUCUCAAGCGUUGGACUGCGGGAGAUACUGCUCGGCUAGAGAGUGGGAGAGGUGUGCGGUAUUCUGGGGGUAGGGGCGAAAUCCUUUGAUCCCCGGAGGACCACCAGUGGCGAAGGCUGCACACUAGAACACGUCUGACGGUCAGGGACGAAAGCUGGGGUAGCGAACCGGAUUAGAUACCCGAGUAGUCC
rnacentral:rRNA from 1 species